rnacentral:rRNA from 1 species
GUGAACGCUGGCGGUAGGCCUAACACAUGCAAGUCGAACGGCAGCACAGUAAGAGCUUGCUCUUACGGGUGGCGAGUGGCGGACGGGUGAGGAAUACAUCGGAAUCUACUUUUUCGUGGGGGAUAACGUAGGGAAACUUACGCUAAUACCGCAUACGACCUACGGGUGAAAGCAGGGGAUCUUCGGACCUUGCGCGAUUGAAUGAGCCGAUGUCGGAUUAGCUAGUUGGCGGGGUAAAGGCCCACCAAGGCGACGAUCCGUAGCUGGUCUGAGAGGAUGAUCAGCCACACUGGAACUGAGACACGGUCCAGACUCCUACGGGAGGCAGCAGUGGGGAAUAUUGGACAAUGGGCGCAAGCCUGAUCCAGCCAUACCGCGUGGGUGAGGAAGGCCUUCGGGUUGUAAAGCCCUUUUGUUGGGAAAGAAAAGCAGCAGGUUAAUACCCCGCUGUUCUGACGGUACCCAAAGAAUAAGCACCGGCUAACUUCGUG